UUUGGGGUGGCAGAGCCAGGUAAAUGCGCAAGGCCUAAGCCCUUGUCCCCAAAAGUUCAAAUCUUUUCCCCAAUC
rnacentral:tRNA from 1 species